rnacentral:rRNA from 1 species
UGGGGAAUAUUGCGCAAUGGGGGGAACCCUGACGCAGCCAUGCCGCGUGAAUGAAGAAGGCCUUAGGGUUGUAAAGUUCUUUCGGUAUUGAGGAAGGUUGAUGUGUUAAUAGCACAUCAAAUUGACGUUAAAUACAGAAGAAGCACCGGCUAACUCCGUGCCAGCAGCCGCGGUAAUGCGGAGGGUGCGAGCGUUAAUCGGAAUAACUGGGCGUAAAGGGCACGCAGGCGGUUAUUUAAGUGAGGUGUGAAAGCCCCGGGCUUAACCUGGGAAUUGCAUUUCAGACUGAGUAACUAGAGUACUUUAGGGAGGGGUAGAAUUCCACGUGUAGCGGUGAAAUGCGUAGAGAUGUGGAGGAAUACCGAAGGCGAAGGCAGCCCCUUGGGAAUGUACUGACGCUCAUGUGCGAAAGCGUGGGGAGCAAACAGGAUUAGAUACCCUGGUAGUCCACGCUGUAAACGCUGUCGAUUUGGGGGUUGGGGUUUAACUCUGGCGCCCGUAGCUAACGUGAUAAAUCGACCGCCUGGGGAGUACGGCCGCAAGGUU